rnacentral:lncRNA from 1 species
AUUGUGAAUUUAAUGGGCGGCGGUAACGGAUAUUUGUGCGCCGGAAGCAUCAUAUCGCACAAUGUUAUAUUAACAGCGGCUCACUGCGUUGAUACUAAGCCCCCGCCACAAGAGGUUGUAAUCUACUACAACACAACGAAGCCGAGCAGGGGACCUGUAGCUCAUGUUGUGCGCUUUAUGAUGCAUCCGGAUUAUGACAAGUAUAACGCUGCGAAAAACGAUAUAGCGCUCCUGAAGGUAAGAGGCAAGAUUAGGUUUGAUAGGUUUGUGAGGCCCAUAUGUCUACCAAGAAGACGUUUUCGGACAGACGGUAAACAACUCAUGUCUGGUGGUUGGGGAGUAAUCAA